rnacentral:rRNA from 1 species
GUGUCAGCCGCCGCGGUAAUACGUAGGGUGCAAGCGUUAAUCGGAAUUACUGGGCGUAAAGCGUGCGCAGGCGGUUUUGUAAGACAGAGGUGAAAUCCCCGGGCUCAACCUGGGAACUGCCUUUGUGACUGCAAGGCUGGAGUGCGGCAGAGGGGGAUGGAAUUCCGCGUGUAGCAGUGAAAUGCGUAGAUGUGCGGAGGAACACCGAUGGCGAAGGCAAUCCCCUGGGCCUGCACUGACGCUCAUGCACGAAAGCGUGGGGAGCAAACAGGAUUAGAUACCCUGGUAGUCCACGCCCUAAACGAUGUCAACUGGUUGUUGGGAAUUUAUUUUCUCAGUAACGAAGCUAACGCGUGAAGUUGACCGCCUGGGGAGUACGUGCGCAAGCAUGAAACUUAAAUAAAUUGACGG